UACAGAGGUCCCAAGCGUUGUUCGGAUUCACUGGGCGUAAAGGGUGCGUAGGCGGUUUUGUAAGUCUUAUGUGAAAUCUAUGGGCUCAACUCAUAGACUGCAUGAGAAACUGCAGGGCUUGAGUAUGGGAGAGGUGAGUGGAAUUCCUGGUGUAGCGGUGAAAUGCGUAGAUAUCAGGAGGAACACCUGUGGCGAAAGCGGCUCACUGGACCAUAAACUGAC
rnacentral:rRNA from 1 species